rnacentral:tRNA from 1 species
AGCUCUGAGGUGUAUGAACAUAUCAGAUUGCAAAUCUGAAGAAGCUGAGUAACGUCAGCCGGGGCUU